GACGAACGCUGGCGGCGUGCCUAAUACAUGCAAGUCGAACGCAUUUUCUUUCACCGUAUCUUGCUACACCGAAAGAAAAUGAGUGGCGAACGGGUGAGUAACACGUGGGUAACCUGCCCAUCAGCGGGGGAUAACACUUGGAUACAGGUGCUAAUACCGCAUAGUUCCAUUUACCGCAUGGUAGAUGGGUGAAAGGCGCUUUUGCGUCACUGAUGGAUGGACCCGCGGUGCUUUAGCUAGUGGGUGGGGUAACGGACUACCAAGGCUGCGAUGCAUAGCCGACCUGAGAGGGUGAGCGGCCACACUGGGAGGGAGACACGGCCCAGACUCCUACGGGAGGCAGCCGUAGGGAAUCUUCGGCAAUGGACGCAAGUCUGACCGAGCAACGCCGCGGGAGGGAAGAAGGUUUUCGGAUCGGAAAACUCGGUUGUUAGAGAAGAACCAGGAUGAGAGUGGAAAGUUCAUCCCUUGACGGUAGCUAACCAGAAAGCCACGGCUAACUACGUG
rnacentral:rRNA from 1 species